rnacentral:rRNA from 1 species
UACGAAGGGGGCUAGCGUUGUUCGGAAUCACUGGGCGUAAAGGGCGCGUAGGCGGCCGUUCAAGUCGGGGGUGAAAGCCUGUGGCUCAACCACAGAAUUGCCUUCGAUACUGGACGGCUCGAGACCGGAAGAGGUCAGUGGAACUGCGAGUGUAGAGGUGAAAUUCGUAGAUAUUCGCAAGAACACCAGUGGCGAAGGCGGCUGACUGGUCCGGUUCUGGACGCUGAGGCGCGAAAAGCGUGGGGGAGCAAACAGG